GGCAUUAAGUUCUAAAGCAGAGAUACCCACCGUGUGUGUGUGUGUGUAUAAAAUAAUUAAGGAUGGCAGCCACAACCACAUGACUGAAGAUCUGCACAAGUGACAUGCAUAGAAAAUGAGCCAGAUUUCCAGUUGGAUUGAAAACUAACUUGGAGAACUACUUUCUAAUAACUGCAAUGCAAAGCGUAACAAGGAGCCUGAUCCAGAAAUACUUCUUCAUUCUGAGAAUCGGAUGCAGUUCUGUCUCUUGUAUCACUUGAUGCAAAUGGAAACCAAACAAAAGGGGAAGAGGAAGAGCCUUUUCUUAUACUUGGCAAGUUCUUGACAAUCAGAAAAAAAAAAAAAUUGGAACAUAUAUAGGAAACUUUGACCCCCUGAAAUACUUCCAGGAAAUAAUACAUAAAAGAUAUGCAAGAGAAAUCAAGUGUGAAUACAUUACAGAGAAAUCUCAUUUGUUGCACAGCGGAAGAGAGAACAACAAUACCACUCAUUUAAAUAGAGUUGAAAUCAGAUGCAUGGAAGUUUUUGAGAUAAGACCGUGAUGUGAUGGGGCAGACAGAAAGAGAAGGUUAACUUCAGAAAGAAACUGAAGACCUGGUUUUGUUAUUGUGCAUGGAGUGGAGAUGGGAAUGGUCAGUUUUGGGAAUGGCUGGUUCCCUAGUCCUACCUGACCAAUAUUAUCUGGUCACAGGC